AAAACUAUACUGCGAAACUGCGAAUGGCUCAUUAAAUAAGUUAUCGUUUACUUGAUAGCACACUACUACUUGGGAUACCUGUGGUAAUUCUAGAGCUAAUACAUGCUGAAAAUCCCGACUCCGGAAGGGAUGUAUUUAUUAGAUUAAAAACCGAUGCCCCGUCUAGGCGGGGCUUUCAGGUGAUUCAUGAUAACUUUUCGAAUCGCACGGCCUUGCGCCGGCGAUGUCUCAUUCAAAUUUCUUCCCUAUCAACUUUCGAUGCGAGGGUCUUGUCCUCGCAUGGUUGCAACGGGUAACGGAGGGUUAGGGCUCGACCCCGGAGAAGGAGCCUGAGAAACGGCUACUACAUCCAAGGAAGGCAGCAGGCGCGCAAAUUACCCAAUCCCGACUCGGGGAGGUAGUGACGAUAAAUACUGAUAUAGGGCUCUUUUGGGUCUUGUAAUUGGAAUGAGUACAAUUUAAAUCUCUUAACGAGGAACAAUUGGAGGGCAAGUCUGGUGCCAGCAGCCGCGGUAAUUCCAGCUCCAAUAGCGUAUAUUAAAGUUGUUGUGGUUAAAAAGCUCGUAGUUGAACCUCGGGCCUGGCUGGUCGGUCGCCCCUCGCAGGGUGCACUGGUCCCAGCCGGGUCUUUCCCCCUACGGAACCUUCAUGGCCUUUACUGGUCGUGACGGGGAGGUAGGACUUUUACUUUGAAAAAAUUAGAGUGAUCCAGGCAGGCUACAAUGCUCGAAUACAUUAGCAUGGAAUAAUGAAAUAGGACGUUGCGGUUCUAUUUUGUUGGUUUCUGGGACCGCCGUAAUGAUUAAUAGGGACAGUCGGGGGCAUCAGUAUUCAAUUGUCAGAGGUGAAAUUCUUGGAUCUAUUGAAGACUAACUACUGCGAAAGCAUUUGCCAAGGAUGUUUUCAUUGAUAAGGAACGAAAGUUAGGGGAUCGAAGAUGAUCAGAUACCGUCGUAGUCUUAACUAUAAACUAUGCCGACUAGGGAUCGGACGAUGUUGACUUAAUUGACUCGUUCGGCACCUAUCGAGAAAUCAAAGUG
rnacentral:rRNA from 1 species